CUCCCGCCUCAGCCCUCAGGAGGAGCCGCGGCCGCUCCUCGGGGGCCGCGCGGUCCCGGAGCCAGCGCUGCCUCCCGCGCCCGGGAUGGCGGGCACGGCUCCGGCCACUUCCACACAGGCACGGAACAGCGCCGGGGAGAGACAAGAAGUGGAUUCACAUCUGACUUCCCUCUCCUGUUGGUGCAAUGCAUCGAAGUUAUGGUUACCCUGCUCUGGAAGGAUAUGGGAAUGUCAUGCUACUUUUCCUAACACUCUUUGGCUGUGGGAAGCUGCAUUCUAUGGCUGCAUAUGUAACAACUGAACAAUACCACAUCCUAAUCAGCGCUCUGCUGCAAAACUAUUAAAGGAAUUGCAGCAACAUCAUUGUGGACUUGAAGACAGAAGCUAAUUUCAUUUUGAUACAAUCGGAAAAGUAAAUGCAAAGAAAAAAUAAACCUCUGUAUGUGUUGUAAUUCAUAAAACAAACAUGAAACUUUGUGUG